AUUCAAUUGUCAUGAACCAUAACAACUCAUGAAUACAUCAAUUCUAUAGCUCUGCAAAAAUCUGAAAUGUACAGAGGCUCAUGACUGGUCAGUAUAGCAUGGAUCAAACAGAAUCCACUGCAUAAGAACAAUUUACUCAGUAAUCAACAUGCAAGACUACAGUACCUAGCCCUCUACAAAAGGACUGUUUUUAACACACAGACCUCAUAAUGUAAACAACAAACACAUAGCAAACACCACAUUGUUGCUUGAAUCUUUUUCACAACAGUUCACUUGUGCUCAAGAACAACACAUUUGAUGAUCACUUCACCAGACCUUCAUUCAUAAGGCUGUAUUUUAAGGAGACAAACAACACAUAUAUAAAUGUAUAUCAAUAACACUGUUUUGUAUAAUGUGUAAUGCAGAUAUGUAACCUUAUUAACCACUUCCAAAAAAAAAUGUGAUAUAUAAAAUUGUUCUAAUUUCUUUUAUAAAACUCUGAAGGAUAAACAUAAAAGUCAAAUGCAAUAUGUGUAAAUGUGGCAACAAUGGCCCACCUACCACAAAAAUAAAUUUAAUUUGGGUCUAGAA